GACGAACGCUGGCGGCGUGCUUAACACAUGCAAGUCGAACGGGUCUGCCCUGUUUUUUGCGGGGUGGGUCAGUGGCGAACGGGUGAGUAACACGUGAGUAACCUGCCCCUCACUUCUGGAUAACCGCUUGAAAGGGUGGCUAAUACGGGGUGUUCUGGCUGUGCCGCAUGGUGUGGCUGGGAAAGAUUCACUUUUGUGGUGUUUUGGUGGGGGAUGGGCUCGCGGCCUAUCAGCUUGUUGGUGGGGUGAUGGCCUGCCAAGGCUUUGACGGGUAGCCGGCCUGAGAGGGUGGGCGGUCACACUGGGACUGAGAUACGGCACAGACUCCUGCGGGAGGCAGCAGUGGGGGGUAGUGCACAAUGGGCGGAAGCCUGAUGCAGCGACGUCGCGUGAGGGAUGGAGGCCUUCGGGUUGUGAACCUCUUUCGCCGGUGAAGAAGGUCCUGCUCUUUGUGGUGGGGUUGACGGUAGCCGGGUUAUGAAGCGCCGGCUAACUACGUG
rnacentral:rRNA from 1 species